CAGACUUGUCUGAUUACUUAAUCCAAAGCCACAUCCUCCACUCAAUGGCUGCCAAAGUGAGCCACAGGCAAGAGUGCUGGUGUUACAACAAAAUAAGGCAGAGAUCUUUACUUAUUUGGAGCCAUCUACUCUUGAGUCCAAUAAAACCAAGCUUGCUAUCAGGCAUGGGAAUUUACAAGCUUUCCAACAAGACUGAAGAAAUCCAGGAAACCACAAUGACAGAUCCACUUCAACCAACUA